rnacentral:rRNA from 1 species
GAUGAACGCUGGCGGCGUGCCUAAUACAUGCAAGUCGAGCGAACAGACGAGGAGCUUGCUCCUCUGACGUUAGCGGCGGACGGGUGAGUAACACGUGGAUAACCUACCUAUAAGACUGGGAUAACUUCGGGAAACCGGAGCUAAUACCGGAUAAUAUAUUGAACCGCAUGGUUCAAUAGUGAAAGACGGUUUUGCUGUCACUUAUAGAUGGAUCCGCGCCGCAUUAGCUAGUUGGUAAGGUAACGGCUUACCAAGGCAACGAUGCGUAGCCGACCUGAGAGGGUGAUCGGCCACACUGGAACUGAGACUCGGUCCAGACUCCUACGGGAGGCAGCAGUAGGGAAUCUUCCGCAAUGGGCGAAAGCCUGACGGAGCAACGCCGCGCGAGUGAUGAAGGUCUUCGGAUCGUAAAACUCUGUUAUUAGGGAAGAACAAAUGUGUAAGUAACUAUGCACGUCUUGACGGUACCUAAUCAGAAAGCCACGGCUAACUACGUG